rnacentral:rRNA from 1 species
ACAUAUGCUGUCGUACGAUGAACCACCUUCGGGUGGGGAUUAGUGGCGAACGGGUGAGUAACACGUGGGCAAUCUGCCCUGCACUCUGGGACAAACACCACUAAUGGGGUCUAAUACCGGAUACUGAACCGCUUGGGCAUCCAGGCGGUUCGAAAGCUCCGGCGGUGCAGGAUGAGCCCGCGGCCUAUCAGCUUGUUGGUGAGGUAACACGAACCAAGGUUACGACGGGUAGCCGGCCUGAGAGGGCGACCGGCCACACUGGGACUGAGACACGGCCCAGACUCCUACGGGAGGCAGCAGUGGGGAAUAUUGCACAAUGGGCGAAAGCCUGAUGCAGCGACGCCGCGUGAGGGAUGACGGCCUUCGGGUUGUAAACCUCUUUCAGCAGGGAAGAAGCGAAAGUGACGGUACCUGCAGAAGAAGCGCCGGCUAACUACGUGCCAUUAGCCGCGGUAAUACGAUUGGCGCGAGCGUUGUCCGGAAUUAUUGGGCGUAAAGAGCUCG